rnacentral:lncRNA from 1 species
CCCAGCUAGUUUUUGUAUUUUUAGUAGAGACGGAGGUUCACCAUGUUACCCAGGCUGGUCUCGAACUCCUCACCUGAAGUAAUCUGCCUGCCUCGAGCCUCCCAAAGUGCUGGGAUACAGGCGUGAGCCACUGCACCCGGCCCCUUGUGUUAUUUUGAGGCUGGUUUAUUUGUUCCACCCAAAUACCAGCUAAAUCACAUCUCAAGACUAGGCUCCUCUGCCCACAUGGAGCUUCCACUUCUGCUGCCUUCCUUGAGUAUCUUGGCUUGAUAGUAAAGACAGAAUGGUUCUUUUCAAAGUAGUUACUCCAUAAAUGUUGGUUAGAAUGAAUGGUUCUCUCAGACAAAUUUCAUUCAUUCAUUCAUUCAUUAACACACAUUUAUAUCAUGGUGCCUUCCUCAUGUCUACAAACAGCAAGACAGACAAGGCCCUUUUCUUCAUAGAACUGAUAUUCUGGCAGUGACAAACACUACAAAAGUAACCAAACAAGAUAUCUGCGGAUAGUGACAAGUGUGAUGAUAGUAAAUUAAUGGGUAUAGCACUAAACAGUGAUUGUGUAGAGGGUGCUUUAGAUCUGAUCACCAGGAGGCCUCAUUGAGGAAGUCACAUUUGAGCUGAGACCUGAAUACUGGGAAGAAACCAGCAGGGGAAGAUCUGGGGAAAGAAUAUUCCAAUCAGCAGGUGCAUUUAUACCAGAUUUCCAGGUCCCAGAUGAAGAGAUAAUUCUACUUACUGGAUAUAGGAUGCAUUAGAUCUUCUUACCUUAAAAAAAAAAAAAAAAGGCAGCAAUGAUCAAAAUACUAAUAAAUUACUCACAGACUCAGUGUGUUUUUUCUUGGAGUAAAAGUCCAGGAUGGGUAAUAGAAUACCUGCUGUUGGCUUUUGGAAAAAUUGGUACUGUAUGUAGCAAAAUAAUGUGAAACCCAUAUGCAUGGAUAUUCUUAACAAUUUGAAGAAAUCUUCACAGCUUUCCUGGGUUGUUGAGCCUCUGAGAUGGUCUUUUCCUCUGAUGUGAUAAUAAAGUGUUUAUUCUGUACUCUACAUGCACGU